rnacentral:RNase_P_RNA from 1 species
CGAUGGCAGAUGAUCGCUGGUGGACCGUUUUGCGGUUCGCUGGAGGAAAGUCCGAACACCAUACGGCAGCAUGCCGCGUAAAAAACGCGGGCGCCGCAGUUGAAAAAUUGCGGUGACGGAGAGUGUCACAGAAAAGACACCGCCGGUUCUUUGAGAAAAGUGCAGGCAAGGGUGAAAAGGCGAGGUAAGAGCUCACCGCUCGCGAAGUAAUUCGCGAGGCACGAAAAACCCCAUGCGGUGCAAGACAAAACAGAGGAAGGGCAGCUGGCCCGUUUGAUCCUCGGGUAUCGUCGCAUCACGAUGCGCGCAAGCGCGUCGGACGCUCGGAGAAAUUCGAGUGAGAUAAAUGAUCAUCCGGUCGCCACGGCGAGCCGACAGAAUUCGGCUUAUCGCCAUCGAAAA